GCCUGAGAUCUCUCAACUCACUAGUCCUGUAUGGGAAUAAGAUUACGGAGCUUCCCAAAGGAGUGUUUGAUGGACUAUAUGCCCUGCAACUACUGUUGUUGAAUGCCAAUAAGAUCCACUGUGUUCGGGCCAAUGCCUUCACAGACCUGAAGAACCUCUCUCUUCUGUCUCUGUAUGACAACAAGAUACAGACUGUGGCCAAGGGCACCUUC